CCUGACUGCUAUCGGAUUGAUACUAAGCCAUGCGAGUCAUUGUAGCAAUACAAGGCAUACGGCUCAGUAACGCGUAGUCAACCUAACCUAUGGACGGGAAUAACCUCGGGAAACUGAGAAUAAUGCCCGAUAGAACACUAUACCUGGAAUGGUUUGUGUUCCAAAUGAUUUAUCGCCAUAGGAUGGGACUGCGGCCUAUCAGUUUGUUGGUGAGGUAAUGGCCCACCAAGGCUAUUACAGGUACGGGCUCUGAGAGGAGUAGCCCGGAGAUGGGUACUGAGACACGGACCCAGGCCCUAUGGGGCGCAGCAGGCGAGAAAACUUUGCAAUGUGCGAAAGCACGACAAGGUUAAUCCGAGUGAUUUGUGCUAAACGAAUCUUUUGUUAGUCCUAGAAACACUAACGAAUAAGGGGUGGGCAAGUUCUGGUGUCAGCCGCCGCGGUAAAACCAGCACCUCAAGUGGUCAGGAUGAUUAUUGGGCCUAAAGUAUCCGUAGCCGGCUCUGUAAGUUUUCGGUUAAAUCUGUACGCUUAACGUACAGGCUGCCGGGAAUACUGCAGAGCUAGGGAGUGGGAGAGGUAGACGGUACUCGGUAGGAAGUGGUAAAAUGCUUUGAUCUAUCGAUGACCACCUGUGGCGAAGGCGGUCUACCAGAACACGUCCGACGGUGAGGGAUGAAAGCUGGGGGAGCAAACCGGAUUAGAUACCCGGGUAGUCCCAGCUGUAAACUAUGCAAACUCAGUGAUGCAUUGGCUUGUGGCCAAUGCAGUGCUGCAGGGAAGCCGUUAAGUUUGCCGCCUGGGAAGUACGUACGCAAGUAUGAAACUUAAAGGAAUUGGCGGGGGAGCACCACAAGGGGUGAAGCCUGCGGUUC
rnacentral:rRNA from 1 species